GUCUCUGUGGCGCAAUUGGUUAGCGCGUUCGGCUGUUAACCGAAAGGUUGCUGGUUCAAUCGCAGCCAGGGACG
rfam:Ciona savignyi cont_33078, whole genome shotgun sequence.